rnacentral:rRNA from 1 species
UACGUAGGGUGCAAGCGUUAAUCGGAAUUACUGGGCGUAAAGCGUGCGCAGGCGGUUGUGUAAGACAGAUGUGAAAUCCCCGGGCUCAAACUGGGAACUGCAUUUGUGACUGCACAGCUGGAGUGCGGCAGAGGGGGAUGGAAUUCCGCGUGUAGCAGUGAAAUGCGUAGAUAUGCGGAGGAACACCGAUGGCGAAGGCAAUCCCCUGGGCCUGCACUGACGCUCAUGCACGAAAGCGUGGGGAGCAAACAGG